GGGAAAAUGAGGAGGGCCUGAGGUAAGUGCCCAGGGGGCUGCAUCUGGCCCCUGGGUCUUAGUUUGCCCAUGCCUGAUCUAGAUGAUAACACUUAGAUGGCUGAAAGCGAGGAGCAGCUGAGGAGCCUUAUAAACAAGGUGAAAGAAGAAAGUAUGAAAGCUGGGUUGCAGUUAAACAUAAAAAAACAAGAUUAUGGCGACCAGACUGAUUGAUAAUUGGCAAAUAGAGGGAGAAAACAUGAGGCAGUGACAGACUUUGUAUUUUUAGGCACAAAGAUUACUGUAGACGCAGACUACAGCCAGGAAGACGUUUACUUCUUGGGAGGAGAGCAAUGACCAAUCUCAACAAAAUAAUGCAUAGAGACAUCACACUGGCAAUGAAGGACCACAUAGUUAAAGCAAUGGUAUUCCCCGUAGGAACCUAUGGAUGCCAGAGCUGGACCAUAAGGAAGGCUGAGUAAAGGAAGAUAGAUGCUUUUGAACUGUGGUGUUGGAGGAAAAUUCCGAGAGUGCCUUGGACCGCAAAAAGAUCCAACCAGUCCAUACUCCAGGAAGUUAUGCCUGACUGCCCACUGGAGUGAAGGAUAUUAGUGGCAAAGAUGGAGUACUUUGGCCACAUAAUGAGAAGGCAGGAAAGCUUGGAAAAUAUAAUGAUGUUGGGGGAAAUGGAAGGAAAAAGGAAGGUGGACUGACCAAGGGCAAGAUGGGUGGAUGUUAUCCUUGAAGUGACUGGCUCGACCUUGAAGGAGCUGGGGGGUGGCGAUGGCCGACAGGAAGCUCUGGCAUGGACUGGUCCAUGAGGUCACAAAGAGUUGGAAGCAAUUGAAUGAAUAAACAACAACAAUCUGCAGGGUAGAGCCAGCUUAAGAGAUUUUUUUAUGUAGGCAUAUGAUUCUGAGGACAACCGUGUACUGGCAGAUUUCCCUUUUAUCUUGAUAAUUUAUAUUCUCUAAAGAAGUAGUAGAAAGACCUAUAACUGCCUAACACUACAGGUGGGAGAGAUAGUGGUCUGGCCCAAGACAGUUUAAUGCUGGGGCAGAAAAUGGUGCCGUAUUUUCAAGUCAAAAUGCAUAGUAAUUAAAGCCAACUGGGUAAUUUUGGCAGUUCAUUUAGAAUUCCCAUAAGCAUAUCUUCCCAUUUCUACUCCUAAAGUAGAAAUGCAAUAAAUUAAUAACUAGAAAAUUGCUCUUUUAAUCACACACACACACACACACACACACACUGGUGCUGGUUGAACAACUGCAUCUUCCUAACUAAUAUUAGAGAUAGUCUUAGGGAAAUAUGUUUUUGAUGUUAAAAACAAGCAAUUUCCUAUAAAUUGAAAAAGAAGAUGUCAAGUUCUAGUCCAGUACCUUCCCCACUUCUUUUUCCACAUAAAGGAAGUACAGUUUCAAACAAUUCCUGAGUUCUAAAGUAAAUCAGGUUGAUUUGGGCCCAUUUAGGUCAAGCUCGAGGUUGUCUGAUCAGCCUAUUUUAGAUUCAGAAUCAAUUGAUCCUAUUAUCUACAAGGGCUAUCCACAAAGUAGGUUACGUUUUGGAAUUAAAAAUGAACAAAGUAUAGGAGAAAAUUCUGCCGCUUGCACUCUCAACCAGUGCAGCCCUUCCCGUAGCUGCGCAGCAUCGACAAAACGUUGCGUUGCCAGCCAAGCCCCCAUUGUUGGAAACAAGUGGUUGAGGGCACAAGUGGCAGAAUUUAGUGGGGAAGGAUUUGCAAAGCUCAUUCAUAAGUAUGGUAAGUGCCUAGAUUUGAAUGGUGACUACGUGAGAUGUGAUAUUUGGGUGUGGCUUUCAACUGCAUAUGGUAAAUGUGUUCUCCUAUACUUUGUUCAUUUUUAAUUCCAAAACGUAACCUACUUUGUGGAUAACCCUUGUAUACACAUAAUCCGUAUGUGUGUAUGUGGCAGAGGUGUCCAUUUACACAGACAGCCUCCCACUUCCACAAACAGCUUUAACCCACAGUUCUGGGAAGCCACCAAAGCCCUCCCUCCAAGGACAUUGCAGGUUACAGUGAGCCACAUCGCAGUGUUCCUUUCUCUCUCCAUUUGUAUGGAAUUUGCAUGACCCUGCCCACUGCCUCUACCUUAACUCUUUCCUAUUCUUUUCUAUGGCAUACAGUAAUUGAACAUAUUAGAGAAAGAGGAUUCCAACUGGGAAUACUGGUAGACUUUGGGUGAUUGACCUUUAACUCUGGGAGCCCUCUGAACCCUACCAAUGACAGAUAUGGACCAAACUUGGCACACAAACCCAACACUGCUAACUUUGCAUACUGAUGGACUUUGGGGUGAUUGACCUUGGCACCAGAGAGUUGUAGUUCACCCUUAACCAGAGAGCACACAACCCAACCGACGACGAACCUGGCCUAAACUUGGCACACAGAUCCAACAUGGCCAGCUAUGCAUAUAGGCCUGGUUUGGGGAGGAUUGAUCCACAAUUCUUGGAAUUGUAGUUCCACUCACAUCAUUAUGUAUUUUCUAAUGGGAGCAUUAAUAAAAAAUGAAAUCAAAGACUGGCUUUUUUCUAAUAAAUAGUGAUACUAAUUCACUAAAUGAUAUUACCCAACGCCCCAAAACAAACAAUGCCUUUUUAAAAUAACUUGGGCACCAUCAGGUACCCAAGCUAGUCAUCUAAUAAAAGUAACAAACUGCACAAUGACAGUUUGCAAAGGGAUCUUGUAGUACCUUUGUACUAUAAAAUCAAAGACCCAUAUUUUACAGUUCCUAUGUGUAACUAAGUACUAUCUCCUGAUGCAAUCCACCAGCCUCCAUCUAUAUCAAGAGUGGAGAUCUGUUCAGCUGCCAUUUGGGGCAUAGGACGAUGAUAUUUCUAUUGUCCUCUUGCAAGUACACGAGACUGCGACAAGGAAUUAUGAUGGAAUACUACUUCCAAUUGUCACCAUCUCCCUCACUGAUGGGAAGAGGGUUAGGAACAUCAUCCCCUAUGCCCUGAUUGGCAGCUCACCAGACCUCCAUCUCUCAGCAAAAUUGUAGCUUGGUAAAGUAGGUUUGAGAUGAAAUUUACAAUUAUGGCAAUACUGUAGUGCUAUUAUUGUGAUUGUGUAGUAUUAAUGAGUAGGGAGGAGAUACGGAUCCAUAACUCUAUGCUACAAAUCUGAGAAAGUAGACCUAGUUUACAAAAGCUUAUGUUACCAGCUUGGUUCUCUCCAUUAGUCUCUAAGGUGCUACAAGAUCCCUUGACAAUCUGCAAUACAGAAUGCCAACCAUCAUCAUUGCUUUAGGUUAAACUCAAUUGAUCACAACAUAGAAAUGCUUUUACAAAUGGGAUCUUUUUUUGAAAAAAAGGUUCAUCAAAAAUCUAAGUCUCCUACCUCCUAUCUCCACUAGGCUGCUCUUGUAAUAUGUUGCCAAUUCUACCUCGUGGCAAGAAAAUAAAUAGGUUUCCCCCCCCUGUGUUUUAAACAUUGGUGAUGAUUUUGUCCAGAGGGAAUAGGUAACUGUAAAUGUUUAAUGCUGCGAUUUUCCCAAGAUGCAUGUAUAUAGAGACAGAUAGAUAGACAGAUAGAUAUGGAAAGCUAGCAUUUUCAUAAGAUUUAAGUUCAUUUACACAGCAAGAAACUCUGAUCAAAGAGAAGUGUACAUACCUAUUUCUUACUAAGACAUCUCAACAGGUUUCCUUAGGUCAUCCAUAUAUAUAUAUAUAUCUUCCCCUCUGGCAGAUUCUAGACUACCUGGGGCUAUUUCAGUAUUAGCUGGGAGACAAGGGACUACAGCAUCCCAGGUGGCUUUCCUUUCACAUUACCUGAUCCAUAUUAAUUGGGAAGUGUGAUGUAGUAUAUCCAAGGUUCUUCACAAGAUUGCUCCUUAAGGCUACAAUAUGAAAUUUUAAAGAACAUGAUAAAUACUUGGGCAUCCUAGUAAGUGUUUUUGUCAGAUCUGUGGAGCUUUCAUCUCACAUCCAGUACAGGAAUAAUGAACAUUUUUAUAGUCUGCAUAGAGUCAAGUUACAUGCUAGAUGUAAGGUCUAAGUGAAAUUGGAGUUACAGGUGGUGUAUGCAUUUUGUACAAUAGACUACAAUAGUGUCCUUGUAUUUGCUAGUUACAGCUUAACUGUUCUUCUUUGUAUCUCAUCACAUUCAAAGAAACAAAUGGUAAAUCUGUAUGCAUCCCGUAGCUGAUAAUGACUGGAUGCAUAUGCUACACACAUGGGAUGCAUAGAAAUCCCAACACACCCAUUUCUUACAUUUUGAAACGAAUCCCCUUUUGACUCAACACAUGCUGAAAUUGUUUCUUCUCCCAAUUCAUUCAGAUUUCUCCUGAUGUCACUUUCUCACCUGUUUUUAAGCUAUUUUAAGCAUUAUACAGUUAUAUAGCCUCUAAUUCUGUACUUUUACUAAAAGAAUUUAAUUUAAAAAAAUGAAAUCUUUAAUUCAUAAACAUAUUUUCAAGAUUCAAAGCACCCCCAACAGAUGGCCAUCUAACCUCUGUUUAAAAGCCUCCAAAAAGGAGCCUCCACCACACUCCGGUGCAGAGAGUUCCACUGCUGAACAACUCUCAUAGUUAGAAAGUCCUUCCUAAAAUUCAGGUGGAAUCUCCUUUCCUGUAGUUUGAAGCUGUUGUUCUGCCUCCUAGUCUCCAGGACAGCAGAAAACAAGCUUGCUCCCUCCUCCCUAUGACUUUCCUUCACAUAUUUGUACAUGGCUAUCAUGUCUCCUCUCAGCCUUCUCUUCUGCAGGCUAAACAUGCCCAGCUCUUUCAGUCUCUCCUCAUAGAGCUUGUUCUCCAGACCCUUGAUCAUUUUAGUCACCCUCCUCUGGACACAUUCCAGCUUGUCAACAUCUCCCUUCAAUUGCGGUGCCCAGAAAUUGACACAGUAUUCCAGGUGUGGUCUGACCAAGGCAGAAUAGAGGGGUAGAAUGACUUCCCUGGAUCUAGACACUAUACUCCUAUUCAUGCAGGCCAAACACCCAUUCGCUUUUUUUUGCCGCCACAUGACAUUGUUGGCUCAUGUUUAACUUGUCAUUCACAAGUAUAUUUUUUCAUACAUAUUGCUGUUGAGCCAGGCAUCUCCCAUUCUGUAUCUUUGCAUUUCAUUUUUUCUGCCUAAGUGGAGCAUUUGUUCCUGUUGAACUUCAUUUUGUUAGUUUCGGCCCAUCUCUCUAAUCUGUUAAAAUUGUUUUGAAUUCUGCUCCUGUCUUUUGGAGUAUUAACUAUCCCUCCCAAUUUGGUGUUAUCUGCAAACUUGAUGAUCAUGCUUUCUAGCCCUUCAUCAAAGUCAUUAAUAAAGAUGUUGAACAGAACCGGGCCCAGGACGGAACCCUGGAGCACUCCACUUGUGACUUCUUUCCAGGAUGAAGAGCAAGCAUUGCUGAGCACCAUUUGGGUUUAUUCACUUAACCAAUUACAGUUCCACCUAACCGUAGUUUUGCCUAGCCCACAUUUGACUAGUUUGUUUGCCAGAAGGUCAUGGGGAAACUUGUUGAAGGCCUUAUUGAAAUCCAGAUACGAUACAUCCAUGGUGUUCCCUGCAUCUACCCAGCUUGUACCUCUAUGGAAAAAAGAAAUCAGAUUUGUCUGGCAUGACUUGUUUUUGAUAAAUCCGUGUUGACUAUUAGUAAUGACCACAUUCCUUUCUAAGUGUUUGACACCACUUCUUUAAUAAUUUUUUUCCAGAAUUUUGCCUCUGUUGACAUGAGGUUGACUGGACAGUCAGCAGACUCUGCCCCUAAGCUGCGUCUCAGAAUCAAUUUAAGGUGAUCCCUUGUUGUCCAAGUAUGAUGGCCUUCCAAGUGUAGUGUCUUGCUGGUGGAUAGGAGCAACUUGAGAAACUGCAUAUCGCUUCUGGUGUGAGAGAACUGGCCGUCUGCAAAGACGUUGUCCAGGCGAUGCCCGGAUGUUUGAUGUUUUACCAUCCUGUGGGAGGCUUCUCUCAUGUCUCCGCAUGGGGAGCUGGAGCUGAUAGAGGGAGCUCACCCGCUCUCCCCAGAUUCGAACCGCUGACCUGUCGUCAGGAGUCCUCCCGGCACAAGGGUUUAACCCAUUGCACCACCAAAGGCUCCACAUAUCAAACUAUUCACCUAUAUGAACUUCCUCAAUUUUCAGCUUUUUAAAGGUCUUGCUGCUCUGUAAGCUUUAUGCAUCUAUCCCUGUAUGGUCUGAAUUAUCCUGAUAUUCCUAGACAUAUUUAAAAUGUAGAAUAUUAUGCAAAAUGCAAUGAAAGCAUGAAUGUAACUUUGGUUUUUUAAACAGUGUUUCGUCUUUCUGUUACUACUUUCAAACUCUGAAGUUUUGCUCUGAGAAAUUAUGUGAUAUGCUGCAAUUGCUUGCAAAGCAGAGAUGUGCUAAUAAAGACCAGUAGAUGUCAGUAUUGAUCUUCACUAUGUUAUACCUUACAUUUUUGAAAGAAAUGUCUUGUAUGGUGAAAGAAAUACGUUUAUUUCUUGACUAGGAAUAUCACUGUCAUGUUAUGAAACAUAAUGCAAAUGCAGAAUAGCAUAUGCAAUUAUAUGUAAUGUAAUAAUCAGAAAGUUGAAAAAGAACACUCUUUGUGUUUUAAUGCCUCAGUGUAAUUAAUAUGGCUUCUUGAAACUGUGUCUUCAGUUUUCUUUCUUGGAAUUAUAUAGCCCAUAAUGAUAUCUAAGACUCAUAAUAAAAUUUGCAAAUCAUGGACAAUUCUGCAUACAGCAGAAAAACUACAGACCAAAUAAUAAUAAUCACACUUUAUCUCACAUUCUCUCUUAAUUAAAAAUUGGAAGUACAUUUGCCCCCUUUUGAGGAUGUAUCAAUUUGUGACAGUUUUUGGCAGCCGUGGGAAAACGAUAAGAGCAUUAUUAUACCUGUUAUUCUGUAUAUCUAUACUGUUCUAUUGGGAGUCACUGAUAGAAACAGAUCACAAGAAUUCAGUUAAGCAGUAGAAAAUUGCAAUAAUUUUUUUUAUUAUAGCCCACAGAGCUAGCAAGUUCUAAUUCAUAACAUAAUACAUAUAUAAGAAAAACUAAGACCAGAAAAAAUAGUGGAUAAAAUUAUACAGGCAGAAUUUAUUUCAAACAUUUCCCCCUAAUACAGAAAUUCACUCUUCUUUAAUGCCAACUGCCCCUGAGUCCUUCCACACGGCCAUAUAACCCAGAAUAUCAAGGCAGAAAAUCCCACAGUAUCUGCUUUGAACUGGGUUUUCUGAGUUCACACUACCAUAUAUUCCAGUUCAAAGCAGAAAAUGUGGGAUUUUAUUUAGCUGUGUGGAAGGGGUCUCAGACCAAAACUUGGCAACAACCAAAGUUACACUGGGAUUCUUAUCUUCUAGUAAGAAUUUGGCAUAAAAGUGGGCUGGUUUUCUUGGUAGAUCUCAAUUAAUUGAGUAAUAUAUGUUGAACCUGCUUGUAGAAUCCAUAAGACAAAAUAAGGUGCUUCAUUGAUUCUUCUUCCAGGUUCAUAACCUGGAAUGACGUGGAAGUUCAUAACCUUUUGAUAUAUGAGAGACAACUUGGAGUAUUUCAGAGGGGAAAGUAUUCAAUCUGAAUUUAGUAAAAAUAUGACAAGGGUUAAAUUCUUUAAAUACCCAGCUAGAUGAAAAGGACUGACACAUUCUGUACCUUUGAAAGUGCAAUGACCCUGCAGUAAUUCUACUAAAAAUUUCAAGUACAGCUUGCAAGCGCUGUUUUCCCCACUUUUGUUAUUACAACAUUAGAGUGAAAACUUUCAAACAGGAUUAGAAAUUCUACUGCUUUAAUACUGAUUGGAAUAUCUUGAUAACAUUCAGUGUGGAAAAUAUUAUCAGCAAGCAGAAAUGUUGAAAAUAUACUAAUGUACAUAUAAAGAUAUCAUUGUAUUCCAGCUUCCAAGGAAUGUAAAAUAUUAACUUCUAUAUACAUCAGUUAGUGAUAAAAUAGUAGUAGUAGUAGUAGUAGUAGUAGUAAACUUUAUUUAUACUCUGCCACCAUCUUCCUGAAAGGACUCUGGGCGGCUCACAGAAGCACUACCAGUGCUAAACAUAAAAUAAACUAUAUAUAAACAUGGAGGCUAUCACAACAUACAUUUACAACUGCAAACAUGCAUAAAAUGACACAUAAUAAAAUUUUAAAAUAUAUUUAAAAACCAUUAGUAAGUUGUUUUUCAACUGUUCCAAAGUCUUUUGCUUGUGUUGUUAGGCCAUGGCCAAGCAAAGAGGACAGGUUGCAAGCAAUUACACUAUGUGAAAUGUGCUUAAUCCUCAUAUGGCACAGAAACCAACACAAAAUGCCAGUCCCAGGAUUCUAUAAGAUACGAUGAGAGCUGAUAAGAGCCCUAUGACACUAUAACUGUGUACUAUAAAUGGGUCCACAGUGGUAACAGAGACACCAAAUGCUGCAUUUCUUCAAUUCUAAGACACACCUUUUUCCUAUAUAAACAUCUCUAAAAAUGGGAGUCCAUCUUAGAAUCAUAAAUGUUAUCUUAAGUAUUUUUUUUGACAAUAGUGGUGCUGAAAUUAGGGUGUGCCUUACAAUUGAUGGCGUCUUAAAAUUGAAUAAAUACAGUAAUAGAGUAUUUUAAAAAUGAGCACCUGGUAUCCAAAACAGAUGCAAGUAUGCCUCAGUUAAGGCAGUAGAUAUGGUCCUCGGCAUUGCUUCUUUAACAAAACUUCUGGUGCUACAAGUAGAAAUAAUGUGGAAAGAACAGGAUUGGUUCCUGCAUCACCUAAAAAAGAUAGAGAGGGAGAGAGAAGAAAGAAAGGGAGGGAGUGGAGAAGGAGAAGAGUUCAACAUUUCAGCAAGACGUUUAUCUACAAUAGAUAAAAUAUACAAUGGAACUAACAUUUUCUAUGGUUUCUAUUUUAACAUACUGGAGAAGACUUGAUGGAGGCAAGCUUAUCUGCUUUCCUCGUUUGUCGCUAUUUUGAUGUUUAUGCAUCACAAGUAAGCAAUUCCCGAGCCAACUGCUAUUUAAAUUGCCUGUUAUAAGCAGGCAGACACAGCUUUGAUAGGUUUGGCUUGAACAGAUUCGAAGUGCAAAUAAAAAGCAACCAAGUAUUGUCGAAGGCUUUCAUGGCCGGGAUCACAGGGUUGUUGUAUGUUUUCCAGGCUGUAACAUGGCCAUACAGCCCGGAAAAUAAACAACAACCAAGUAUUUCACAUAUAUAUAUUUCAUUGGUUCUUCUUUCAUUUACAUUGAGUGGGCUAAAUCCAGCAUUAGUUACAACAGGAGUAGUCAGUUAACUCAAUAGGACUUUUGAAUCCACAUUCAUUUCAAUGGUGCUGCUGUAAUGGUGUUGAACAUUUGAAUUACCUCAAUAUUUAAAUGUUUCUAAUACCAUAAAAUCAUUAUGCAUCAAUCGGUUUAAAAUAAGGAUGUCAGGGAUUUAAAGGGGUCCAUUUGUGCUGUUGCCUCAUAAUCAUGUUGAAACAGAACAUUUUUAAACAACAUGCUGCUGAAUAUUUAAUGCAUAUAAAUUGUAAUUGAUGGGGUGGGGUGCCAGUCAACUUAGAUAUAAAUACUUUAUUGGAUAAUUACUUUUUAGAUUGAGUUGUUAAUUUUUUGAAAGUAUUCCGCAUAGAUAAUUUUUGUUACCUAUCACUGUACCUUUUAACAAUUCUAAUAGAUCCUUUCUGGAAAGGGAUACCCAGAACUAUUAACUCUGUAUUAAUAUUUCAUACUGAAAUAAUGCUGGAACAUUUUGGCUUCCUUGCCUCAUCAAACAGACUUUUAGGCCAUGUAUUCCCCAAAUGGGUUUUUUAAUAAAAUCAGUUUUUACCAAACAAA